rnacentral:lncRNA from 1 species
CCUCAGGCCUCUUCCUCUCCCCAACUAACAACUAUACGGACAAACACAAUACGAGACCAACCACAUACACUUCCAGCAAUAGAACACACCCCACUACAAAUUUCCCCACCAACGAUACCAACUCCAACCCCAGUGCCCCCUCUCUCCUCAACAGAGGAAUUUCCACCUUUAUCAAAGCCCCUGCCAAAAAGACAACCAUCAUACUUACGGACACUAUCACUGGGAAAACAACCGACCCUGAGUGAAACCUAUAACCUUCGCAUACAGACUCUUUCAAAAACACAUCUCCACUCCCUACCCUCAACAUCCACUUUCACUGAUUCUUCCCUUUCCAAUCAAAAAGGAGAGGUAAGAAUAGCAACCCCUAUAACUGAAGAGGAGAAAUGGAAAAGCCCAGUGGGUCCCCCUACUCCCAAAGCAGCCACUCCUAUCAUAGCCCAGGUUCACCACACAGUCAACAGUCAAACAGAAACCAAAGCAGCCACUCUUAUCAUAGCCCAGGUUCACCACACAGUCAACAGUCA